UACGGAGGGGGCUAGCGUUGUUCGGAAUUACUGGGCGUAAAGAGCUCGUAGGCGGUUGGGUAAGUCGGGUGUGAAAACUCAGGGCUCAACUCUGAGACGCCACUCGAUACUGCUCUGACUCGAGUCCGGUAGGGGAGCGUGGAAUUCCCGGUGUAGCGGUGAAAUGCGCAGAUAUCGGGAGGAACACCAGUGGCGAAGGCGGCGCUCUGGGCCGGAACUGACGCUGAGGAGCGAAAGCGUGGGUAGCAAACAGG
rnacentral:rRNA from 1 species